AUGUCUAAUCCCACCCCCGAUCUCUCCUCUCUCACCCACGACACAUGUUGCGCCGCCGCCGCCGUUGUUUCGUUCGGCACGCACCUCCUCACGGCGCACUCCUCGGCCGCCCCGUCGGAACGCUGCCUCCGUCUCCGUCUAGCCGUCGAUAACCUCCUUCUUGUAUCUUCCGUCGGAAAGGUGCAACAGGGAUCAUCUCUUUCUCGGGCGGCCACGAGCUCCAUCUCCAGAUCGGUGGCACACUACACCCAGAAGCAUGUAUCCGAUUUUUCUGGAGUCCGUGGGCGAACCGCCGCUCCACGCUCCAGAUCUGGCCGGAGGUACGCGCGGACGUCGGGGCAGUUUCAGUUGGGGAGUCUCGGUUGGGAGGGGCUCAGGGCAGGCCAGCGAAUGCAUACAGGGAAAAGAGGGAAAAUUGAAGAGCCAUAUUCUCUGUCCAUUUUGCUCUAUGGUGCUGAAAGCAAAAAAUUGAUUUACUUACAUCUGAAUCUUUUAGCCAUCAAAUUAUUGUUGCACUUGCGAGUCAAAAUGUGCAGAAAGAUGGAUCAAAGGCCACCACCGCAUCGACACAUUGACAUUGUUCUUGCUCCUCUCAUUUUCUUUCUUUCUGAAUCCCUCAAUCCAUCAGAGGAGCUCAAGUCCAAGUAG
rnacentral:rRNA from 1 species